rnacentral:rRNA from 1 species
AAUCCAUAGGUUAAUGAGGCGAACCGGGGGAACUGAAACAUCUAAGUACCCCGAGGAAAAGAAAUCAACCGAGAUUCCCCCAGUAGCGGCGAGCGAACGGGGAGGAGCCCAGAGCCUGAAUCAGCAUGUGUGUUAGUGGAAGCGUCUGGAAAGGCGCGCGAUACAGGGUGACAGCCCCGUACACAAAAGCGCAUGUGCUGUGAGCUCGAUGAGUAGGGCGGGACACGUGGUAUCCUGUCUGAAUAUGGGGGGACCAUCCUCCAAGGCUAAAUACUCCUGACUGACCGAUAGUGAACCAGUACCGUGAGGGAAAGGCGAAAAGAACCCCGGCGAGGGGAGUGAAAAAGAACCUGAAACCGUGUACGUACAAGCAGUGGGAGCCCCACCACCAAAGCAUUUGCUGUACCGCGUUGACGGAGCGAAGCGACGUCAAACCGAUAAAACAGCAGUGUAAAGUGAGCCGCAGGGCGCUUUGCGCGACAGCGCAAAGGCAG